GGGGGUUUAGCUCAGUGGCAUAAGCACUUGUUUUGCAAGCAAGAAGUCAUGAGUUCAAUCCCCG
rnacentral:tRNA from 1 species